rnacentral:rRNA from 1 species
GACGAACCGUGCGAACGUUGUUCGGAAUCACUGGGCUUAAAGGGCGCGUAGGCGGCCUGCAUAGUCGGGGGUGAAAUCUUUCGGCUUAACCGGAAAAUUGCCUUCGAUACUGGCAGGCUCGAGCGAGGUAGGGGCGGAUGGAACUUCCGGUGGAGCGGUGAAAUGUGUUGAUAUCGGAAGGAACGCCGGUGGCGAAAGCGAUCCGCUGGACCUCUUCUGACGCUGAGGCGCGAAAGCUAGGGGAGCAAACGGG